AUGCAUCAUCAUUCAUUUGCUCACUACAAAAGCAAUAACUUACCUAGCAAUCAAUAUCACAUCAUGCAUCACUCUCUUGAGCAAUUGCAAAACAAAACGGAAAACAUGGAAAACUUUUACCUUGCGAGCAUAUCCUCGAGCAUGUCGGCCUCGCUCCUAGUUCCGUCUGAAUUCGUGCCUUCGUCGGCCGCCGGAGGUGGAGGGGGUGGCAGCGUGGCUGCAGGAGGCCAAGGGCAAUGGCAGCCUUCUUCGUCCUGGCCGUCAGGUUGUUCGCCUUCGUCGAUGGUCGACAGUCCCAUUUGCCGGUCGGCACCGACAAGGGUGGUAGGGUAG
rnacentral:rRNA from 1 species